UGAAACCAGGAUUAGAUACCCUGCCACUUUUAAUUAAGAGGUUUUGGAAUAAUAGUAUUAAUGAAAUUUAACGGAUUUGGCGGCAAGAUAGCCCCUUAGAGGAACCUGCCCUGUAAACGAUGAACCACGAGGGACGUAACUUUCUUUGGUAAUCAGUUUGUAUACCGCUGUUGUCAGUUAGAUUCUUGAGAAUAUUUUCGUUUAUGAUAAUUUCAUUGACUUCAAGUAAAGGUGCAGCUUAUGUGAAAGGUAGAGGUGGGUUACAUUUAUAAGAAUAAAACGGAUAAGAUAAAUGAAAGGAUCUUUGAAGGUGGAUUUAACUGUAAAACUUAAGUAGGUUUGGUGAGAGC
rnacentral:rRNA from 1 species